UACGUAGGGUGCAAGCGUUAAUCGGAAUUACUGGGCGUAAAGCGUGCGCAGGCGGUUGUGCAAGACCGAUGUGAAAGCCCCGGGCUUAACCUGGGAAUGGCAUUUGGGACUGCAAGGCUUGAGUGCGGCAGAGGAGACUGGAAUUCCUGGUGUAGCAGUGAAAUGCGUAGAUAUCAGGAGGAAUACCGAUGGCGAAGGCAGGUCUCUGGGCUGACACUGACGCUCAUGCACGAAAGCGUGGGGAGCAAACAGG
rnacentral:rRNA from 1 species